rfam:Triticum aestivum genome assembly, contig: Triticum_aestivum_CS42_TGACv1_scaffold_130199_2BL
CUAGUAUUCCCUCCGUCCGAAAAUACUUGUUAUCAGAAUGGAUAAAAAAAGAUAUAUCUAGACAUUUAGUUCUAGAUACAUCUCUUUUUAUCGCUUUCAAUGACAAGUAUUUUUGGACGGAGGGAGUAAAAC